UACGGGGGGAGCAAGCGUUGUUCGGAUUUAUUGGGCGUAAAGAGCUCGUAGGCGGCUUGUCGCGUCGUCCGUGAAAACCCACAGCUCAACUGUGGGCUUGCGGUCGAUACGGGCAGGCUAGAGUUCGGUAGGGGAGACUGGAAUUCCUGGUGUAGCGGUGAAAUGCGCAGAUAUCAGGAGGAACACCGGUGGCGAAGGCGGGUCUCUGGGCCGAUACUGACGCUGAGGAGCGAAAGCGUGGGGAGCGAACAGG
rnacentral:rRNA from 1 species